AGUGAACGCUGGCGGUAGGCCUAACACAUGCAAGUCGAACGGCAGCACAGUAAGAGCUUGCUCUUACGGGUGGCGAGUGGCGGACGGGUGAGGAAUACAUCGGAAUCUACUUUUUCGUGGGGGAUAACGUAGGGAAACUUGCGCUAAUACCGCAUACGACCUACGGGUGAAAGCAGGGGAUCUUCGGACCUUGCGCGAUUGAAUGAGCCGAUGUCGGAUUAGCUAGUUGGCGGGGUAAAGGCCCACCAAGGCGACGAUCCGUAGCUGGUCUGAGAGGAUGAUCGGCCACACUGGAACUGAGACACGGUUCAGACUCCUACGGGAGGCAGCAGUGGGGAAUAUUGGACAAUGGGCGCAAGCCUGAUCCAGCAAUGCCGCGUGAGUGAAGAAGGCCUUCGGGUUGUAAAGCCCUUUUGUUGGGAAAGAAAAGCAGCAGGUUAAUACCCCGCUGUUCUGACGGUACCCAAAGAAUAAGCACCGGCUAACUUCGUG
rnacentral:rRNA from 1 species